AGCAGGCGUACUGUCUAGGGGACGGCUGCUCCGCUUUUGCACCCUGCUCUAGGAGGAGGAAGUGGAUGUGGAGUAGGAGGUUGAGGAGGAUGUCUGCCCUAUCAACUUUCAAUGUCACUUUCUGCGUCUACCAUGGUGACCACAGGUAACGGGAGAAUCAGGGUUCGAUACCGGAGAGGGAGCCUGAGAAAUGGCUACCACAUCCAAGGAAGGCAGCAGGCGCACAAAUGACCCACUCCUGACGCGGGGAGGUAGUGACGAUAAAUAACAAUACAGGACUCUUUCCAGGCUCUGUAAUUGGAAUGAGUCCACUUUUAAUCACUUAACGAGGAUCUAUUGGAGGGCAAGUCUGGUGCAGAGUGACUGACCCAUACAUGCUGCAGCACAAACUCCACUAUCGCCUGCU